rnacentral:rRNA from 1 species
UACGGAGGAUCCAAGCGUUAUCCGGAUUUAUUGGGUUUAAAGGGUGCGUAGGCGGACUGUCAAGUCAGCGGUGAAAGUCCAUGGCUCAACCAUGGAAUUGCCGUUGAAACUGUCGGUCUUGAGUGUAGAUGAGGUAGGCGGAAUUCGUAGUGUAGCGGUGAAAUGCUUAGAUAUUACGAAGAACUCCAAUUGCGUAGGCAGCUUACCAGGCUACAACUGACGCUGAGGCACGAAGGUGCGGGGAUCAAACAGGAUUAGAUACCCUGGUAGUCCGCACAGUAAACGAUGAAUACUAGCUGUUGGCGAUAUACAGUCAGUGGCACAGCGAAAGCGUUAAGUAUUCCACCUGGGGAGUACGCCGGCAACGGUGAA